rnacentral:tRNA from 1 species
AGUUCCGUAGUGAAAUUCACAUUAGAUUGCAAAUUUAGAAAUGCAGGGUAAUGCCUGCCGGGACUU